rnacentral:misc_RNA from 1 species
UAUAAAUCAAAAUUAUAAUAUAAAAUACAUAUUUUAGAAAUUGAGACAAAAAUGGGAAGACAGCAAGGCAACUUUAAAUCCAUUUCUUGCUUGCUAAUUUUAAAAAGGCAGGAAUUUCCUCUCGGGAAAAAUUACCAUCUUUAUCUAAACACGUUAGUCCUGUACGAUAACAGCUGUACAUUAACAUAUCCAGGCAUCAAAUAUGUAGCUGGAUGGAAUUGCAAUAUGCAACUUUUAUCUAUGAUAAGUUGGAGACAGAUUAUUGUAGAAUCAGUUUGAGACAGCCAUCAGGAUGGCAGGUUAAACUGGCUUGCAACUGUUGCUUUGCAGUAUGAACUUCCUAGAGUUUAAGCUGAUGAGUAAGCUUCUUCCUGAUGCAUGCUAAGCCCUCCACUCGUAGGCCUGAAAUGCAUUCAAGCAAGGAAAGAAAACAAAAAGUUAUGCAGAACAAAAAAACAGGAUUGUUGGAGAGGAAAAAAAAACCACUUAAGCAAUCUAAAUUGCAAAUACUAUCUCGCUAGACUGUAGCAUAAUGCAUUGAGCAAACAAUUAGAUGCUCUCAUCAACAAAAAAGUCUCCAGUAGGUAGAACACAAUAUUUCAUUUGAUCAUAAAUAGCAUAUAUUAACUACUGAUGUUUCAACAUUUCUGAAACGAAGUGUUUAAAUCAUUUGCCAAAAUAACUUGCUUGAGGUGGAUAAUAUUCCAUUCUAUCAUAUAACAUCAACAAAACUCCUAUGUAGUGCCAUAAAGGAAUACUAUUUUUGUUUCUUUUCUUUUCUUUAUCCCAGUUAGAAUCCAUUCAACCAUAAAUCAAAGACAUUCUACUCUUAUGAAGCUGCAGUAUGCUUUUUUGUAAAUGUGAAGCAUAAUGAUGAAAAUACACUUACAGUCCAUUUAGUACUUUGAUGGUGUCGUAGAAAAACCAUUGCAAAGUAACAACUGGCCCCACCAGCGUGAUCCGAAUAGGAAGACUCCUAGUGAAGAGAUUAACUAGCCCAAUAUUCUUCACAGCCUAAAGGAUAUCAUAUUAAAACUAAUGUAAUUAAUUCCAUUAAAUUUGCAUGCUUGACCGAGGUUGCAUGAAAAUUUUUGAUCUAGAGGUGCACCUGAAGCAUACUUUCAGCCUUUUUGUUAUAAAGAGAACUAACGAUAUUGUCAGCAGGAUUAGAAAUCACGGUACCAACAGCUCCAGCCACAUACCCUGCUAAGCAUGUCACACUGACCUGUUGAACCCUAGAGCAAUCUUGCUUUCUCCUUUGAACAAUGUUCUGAUAUAUCAGGUCCACUGAAUGCUCAAAUGUUGAAAACAUUACCAUGGAAACUGCCAAUCACAACAUUAGGGGGAAAAUGUUAAGAAAAGGAAACUUUUUUUGACUUGCAUAAGCAAAAAAGACAAUCCCAAUUCCCAAAAGCACAAGUAACUUCAUCAAGGUAAUGAUCAGAGUUGAGCUCUUACCGAGUUGCUCAAGAGAGGGAUUCAAUUAAUGGGCAGUCCUAAAAAAAUAGUAUAUAGGCAUGGUAUCAUGUAAUAAAUGGCUGUUUUACACCAAUAAGGGUUCUUCUCCAGAAGUGAAGUGCCAAGAAAGAAGUGAAGUGCCAAGGAAUCAUACUUCUUUAUUUUUCAUAAUGCAAUUGAUUUAACAUCUAAUCAAGGCUUGGCGCUCUUGACCUACAUCAACUAAAUGAGACCAAACAACAUACAGAGGUCAAACCAGAAGAUUUCAUGGUUAUUCAUUGCUACCAUACGUAGCCAAUGAGGUGUGCAUUAGUUUUCAAAAUAUUAAUUUUAUUAGUUCACUAAGCAAAUGACAAGGAUUAGCUGGCUUAGUAUACAGGACAUGAAAAAGCACAUAAAAUCAGAAGUACAUGUAUUUUGAUGCAAUGACUAUUGGGGAAGAUGUAUUAAAUUUGUAUCUUAGAACAAUAGCCAAACAAUCAAGACAUGGGAAUUCUAAGUAUGCAGGGAAACAGUAAUUUUUACAUGGAAGAUUGCGGCCCCAAAGCGGAAAAAUGCCUCUGUAAAAGCUGCAGAAAACGAUAUAAUAGUAAACAUAAUUGAACCAGGAUAAAAGGAAAGAUGAUCAAGUUUACAGGUAAUUUACCCAGCAAAUCCUUCAGCUUUAUAUAGUUUUGGAAACCCAUCAAUCAGGCCCUUAGCAUAUCUGGGUUGUGUUUGGACCUGGACUUUGAUGGCUUCAAAUGGACAGAGAGCCAGGUCAGCAAAUACUUGUGCAGAAGCACUACUGAGAAAAAAUAUAAUAGUCCUGUUUUGAUCUACUAAGAUAUGAGAGUAAAGCCUCUUAAAAUAUUCAUAAAGACCGAAUUUGAAGCCGCCUUGAACACCAUAUCCAAACAACUUGCCAGACCACCCCCUCCAAAGGGAAGAAGGCCCUUGUUCUUUCCAUAGAGUAGAGAAUCCAGCCAAAAUACUGUUAUACUUGAUUGGAUUCACCU